UGUCUAAAACCAAAAUAGAGGUCUAUCACUGUUAAUGAUAUCAUUGAAAUUCAUUCUAGACAAAG
rnacentral:tRNA from 1 species